rnacentral:rRNA from 1 species
CGCCUCCUGCUAACCUAUAGGAGGUCCAGCCUGCCCAGUGACCUAGUUUAACGGCCGCGGUAUCCUAACCGUGCGAAGGUAGCGUAAUCACCUGUUUUUUAAUUGAAGACCUGUAUGAAAGGCAUCACGAGAAUCGUACUGUCUCCUUUUUCCAAUCAGUGAAACUAAUCUUCCCGUGAAAAAGCGGGAAUAUAACUACAAGACGAGAAGACCCUUUGGAGCUUAAGAUAAAGUAAUGUUUUGCACCCUCCUAUCUCACCUAUUUUUCUAAACACUUACAUUACAAAUCUUCGGUUGGGGCAACCGCGGAGUAAAACUCACCCUCCAAGCUGAAUGAAAUUUUUCUAAACAAAAAGCCACAACUUUAUGUAUCAACAAAUUGACAUCAUGACCCAAUAUUUUGAUUAUCGAACCAAGUUACCCUAGGGAUAACAGCGCAAUCCACUUCAAGAGUUCAUAUCGACAAGUGGGCUUACGACCUCGAUGUUGGAUCAAGGUACCCCAGUGGUGCAGCCGCUACUAAUGGUUCGUUUGUUCAACGAUUAAAACCUUACGUGAUCUGAGU